rnacentral:lncRNA from 1 species
AUGCAGGCAGUGGUAGCUUUGAAUAGUGAUAAAUAAACAAAUAAAUUUCAGAACACCCUACUUCCAACCAGACGGAUACAGAAAUUAUUUCAAUGUAGGAAAAAAAAGUUUGAUUGUGAAAAUUCAUGGAUUUUUUUCCUAUGUUCACUAUGUAGGUUAUCAGCUUAUUGCUGGAGGAGAAACAGAUCAGCCCACUUCACAGCUGUGGUGGUUCUGCAAGACCUCAGAAAUGGAAACUUUUCUCUCAUUGGAGCUCAGUGCUUCCAUCCUUUCUCUCCAAGAACAGUGCUGCAUUCCUUGAUCUCUCAAAGCAAGGUGUCAGACUAAUACAGAGCAUACACGUUGUUUCCCAUUUCACUUUCCACUUUUAGAACUGCUGCUUACGCUGUUGUUUAAUCUCUAUGCAAUGUGAUAAUGAGUAGAAGACACCACAGAAGUGUGCAGCCCAUUGCACACAAACCCUUUCCUUGGCUACCGAAGAUGAUGCUGCAGAUCUUGGUCCUGCCAGCACGAUGCUGAUCUACUUGAGCACAACCAUAUAGUUAAACCAGAUUAUACUCAGUUUAUAAAUUCUUCCAAUGGCAUGGCAAACAUGGCAAAAAAAAUCUUGUAAUUUGUGCUUCAGUGUGCAAUUCAUGUGAGAACAAUGUGAAGAAAGGCUACAGAAUAAGUCUGCAAAAUGCUCUCAAUUGAACAGAAAGAAACUGUUUCCAUGGCUUCGAUGAGCUGUUUGCAAAAAUCCUCCAAACAAGAGAAGUUGAAGCUGGUGAGAUACAAAGUGGAGAAGAUAUUCAAGUUUUGUCUAAUACAAACUGGGAGUUGGUCCCUGCUAUCUAAUGCAAUCCAGUAG